CCUCGUCUGUAGUGUUCCAGCUGAAUUAGAGUUUCUUACUAGAACUGCCUUCUAUAGUAUUGAAAAAUAAAUAUGGGUUUUUCUUUCAGUAUAUAAUUACCAUUAUAGCUAUUUUUGAACACCAACAUCACGUACCUAACAGAUGUCUCCUUGAAAUAGAUGUUCCACAAAUAUUUACCAAGUUAAGAAAUGAGCAGUGCUCUCUAAUUUUGAGUUGUGGGCAGUUUUCUCUUUCUGGCACUUACCUUAAUUACAGCAGAUGUAACUGUUAAAUACACAGUUAAAAUCUCAGCACUAUCAGGGCUGGAGUCUCAGUUAUACAAUAUAAUGA
rnacentral:lncRNA from 1 species